AGUUUUAUUAUUAACAAAUAAAAAAAAAAGAAAAGAAAAAGCUAUCAUUUUUCUCUUCCCCUUCACCGAAAUAUGCAGCAAAGAAAGAGUUUUGAAGCUGGAAAAUUUCAGCAACAUAUUUCCCUUGCUUAUGAUGAAAAUUGAGACUUGGACCUAGAACGGAAAGAAAUCGAUUUAUGGACGAGUAUGUCCUUUUCACAUUUGUGGUAUCGAGAGUUUCCAGGUUAGCUCGGGUUGGAGGCCGUCAGAGAUAUUAUCACCCUAUCGAGUUAACGUUAUCAGAGUAAGUAAACUCAAGUGAUUCAAGUCUAUGGCAUGUAUAGGGUUUUAAUGUGAGUAUGUAAUAUUAUGAUUUAGCCAAAGGCAUUGGCUUGUUAUUAAGGUAGUAUUAGUCAUGUAAAUUGGCCUAUGUCGGCUAAUGACAUUAUGGGCCCAUAUGAUUAUUCUUAUGCAUGUAUGUUAUUAUCUCUUGUGAUGUGGCUUACAACAUGUAUGCCUAGAGAUUGAAUUGAGAUUCAUUGAUGAGCUAGUAACUAAUGCAGGAUUAAGUGAUUGGUAAAUAGUUAAUAA